rnacentral:rRNA from 1 species
AUGGCUAGUAAUUGGAGUUUCAGACAAUUUGGGGAGGUAAUUUGUAGCCAAUAUCCUUGGGGUUUGCUUGAUGAAGUGGUAUACAAAUACUAUGAUGGGGAAAAGAAUUGGGUGACAAUUAGUAAUGAUGAAGAGCUAGCUACCAUGUUUGUUAGGCAUAAAGAGAAAGAUAAUUUUCAUGUGAGGCUGCAAGUUGAUGUGCUUGAGCAGGCAUUUGGACCUAGGAUGGCGGGUGCAACAUCUCGGGGAGAACCAAGUCGUCGUAAUGGCAUAUCUAGCCAGAACAGUUCAGUUGGUGCACGGCGACGUGGUAGCUCGACAAGUGUGGGCAACAGUAGUAGGGUCCCCCUUGAAGUGGAGCCUGAUGGCUACAAUUCUGGGGUUGAUGAAGAGAAUCUAUAUUCUGAUGUUAUUCAUAAUUUACGACGGGCACCUCGGACUAAAAAUCAAGAUGAGGCUCACAAUGCAGUCCGUGUGGAUGAUGACGCGAUGGGUGAGGACGAAGACCUUGCAGCUGUUGAAUGGGACCCUUUGAACCCUCAUAUGGAAGAAGGUACAGUUUUCGCAUCCAUGAAUGAGUGUAGAAAUGCACUUGUGACAUACUGCAUCAAGGUAGAACGUACUUUCAAAGUUGACAAGAGUGAUCAUGUACGUUACAGAGUGCACUGUCCGACUGAAGGUUGUCCAUGGAGGCUGAUUGCAUCUAAAAUGCGGAAUAGCACUAAUGUUCAGGUCAAAGUGAACCCUUUUAGGCACACAUGCCCGGAAUCAACCCUUAGGAAGGAUACAAUCAGUAGAGCCAAGUCAAUAUGGGUGGCAGAAGAAGUAAAGAAGUGGGUGAAAGAAAACCAGCAAGUGGGUCCAAAGGAAUUGCAGAAGAACAUCAAAGAUAAGUUCAAGAUAGAUUUACCAUACAUGAGGUUGUUCAAUGUAGAUCCAGCGUUCAGAGAGAGUUUCAAUGAAGGCUUCGAUGAAAAUGUUGGUCAGCAGCCGGUUGCCUCAACAAAUGAUGAAAAUGAUGGUCAACAGCCGGUUGCAUCAGAUGAGGAUUUUGACGAGGUUCCAAAUGAUGAUGGUCAACAACCGCAUGAUUUUGACGAUGAUCCAAAAUAUCCUCCAAAUAAUGAUUCAAGUGAGGCUCCAAAUGGUGAUCCAAGUGAGGCUCUAAAUGGUGAUCAUGGUGAUCCAAGUGAGGCUCCAAAUGAUGAUCCAAGUGAGGCUCCAAAUGGUGACCAACCUUCUGUUGUUGUGAGUUCUGCUAGCUCUAUGGUAGGUUUGAAGAAGACGCGCAAGGUACCGACAACCAAGAGAAGAAGAGAAGAAACAAUGAGCACAAGGUGCACGAGGAGCAAAGUGAUGGCAAGAAGCUCAAGGAACAGACAGAAAUGA